rnacentral:lncRNA from 1 species
AUAAGAGUCACAGUCUUCUUUUUUAUGUUGCAAUAGACCAAGCUCCAUCCCCAUGAAACAUUGGACCAGUUAACGCUGAUUGAACCUUCACAAUAAAAUGCAAGCACUAAAUAAAGUUUCAGCACUACUCCUUUUCCUUCAUAAAGCAUUUAGUGCAUGAUUGGAGUUGUCGAUAACAAGAUGCACUGUAGAUCAGGAGACUUUCAAAGGCAAGCCACUCAGCUCACCCAUUGCGCUGAUGACAUAAGGCCUUGCUGACCAUUGUUUUAAUUCCAACUCCAUUUGAAAAAGAGAGCAA